GUCAUUCUUUCCAACACUUGUCACUCUCUGAUUUUUUGGUAGUAGCCAUCCUAGUGGGUGUGAAGCAGGCUUCUCAUGUGGCUUUGAUUUGCAGGUGUUGGAUUUUCUUCUAAGAACAAUAGGGACAUUCAGAGGAUUGGAGGUUGUGCCAACUUCCUCACCAUGGGCAGAUUUGGAGAAAGAGUAACACCAGUGUCUCUGAUGUCACCACUCAGCCCAGGCAACCUGCUGGGGAAUAUUGUAUAUUUAGGGCAGAGAUUCUUUGCCGGGAUUUCGAGACAUAGGGAUCAAGAUGCCACAUCAAGAGGCUAUGUGACCUUUGACAGUGUUCUAGAGUUAUGGAAAGAAUGUGAGGUCAAAGGAUCCCUCAGUCUGGUGGUUGACCUUGGGCCCUCAUCUGCAUUUGCUCUGCUCUUACUUGGGGAUAAAAUCCUCAGUAGAACUGCACUUCUAGAUCAUCAUGAGGGAGUCAACGAGAGUAUGUACUUGGGGGUCCUAUUUAACGUGGCAACAUUUUUAUCCUUGGGGAAGAAUGGAGCAUCCUUACCACAGCUGCCUUGGAUGACCAAACAACCCACUGUCCUUUGCGGUGAGGAUGUCCUUCGAAGAACACCAUCCAUUCUGGAAGUGGAGGCCUGGCCCACAGCACUUUGGGGGCCAGGGGCCUGCCUCGGGAAGAGGCUGAGGAGACAGUGAUGCAUGACAAGAAUCAUCUCAGACUGGAGAAUGUGGCACGAGAGGGUUUCUGGUGCCUGGAUGCUUUCCAUUUUUGGUUUUUAGUUCUUCACAAACUAUUACAGGAAAUGAUGUUUUUGAAAACAAAGUUGUCCCUGGCCCAGUGGCACCAGGUCAUUCCAUGCAAAUAGUCCCCGCGGGCUGAGAGAAGGCCCAAAAUAUGCAGGUGCAUGAGCGAUACUACUCAGCACGUGAGGUCGCAUAAUUUUCGUGGGCCCUUGCCUGGAAGUUCUGGUGAGAGCCUGGCUGUCCGUUUCGGAAGCAGCCUCUAGGCCUGGCUUUUGGCCUUUUCAUCCACCUGCGGGGUUUGUGCUGAGCUCAAGAUUCCAGAGGCAAAGGACACAUUGCUAGUGCCACUCAGAUCCCCAAAAU
rnacentral:lncRNA from 1 species